UGCGUAGGCGGGGCAAUUAGUCAGUGGUGAAAUCCUGCGGCUUAACCGUAGAAUUGCCAUUGAUACUGUUGCUCUUGAGUAUAGUUGAGGUGGGCGGAAUGUGUAAUGUAGCGGUGAAAUGCAUAGAGAUUACACAGAACACCAAUUGCGAAGGCAGCUCACUAAGCUAUAACUGACGCUGAGGCACGAAAGCGUGGGGAGCGAACAGGAUUAGAUACCCUGGUAGUC
rnacentral:rRNA from 1 species